rnacentral:rRNA from 1 species
UGCGGUGAAUACGUUCCCGGGCCUUGUACACACCGCCCGUUAAGCCAUGGAAGUUGGGUGAACCUAAAGUCGAUAACCGCAAGGAGUCGCCUAGGGUUAAACCAGUAACUAGGGCU